UGGCUCAGGAUGAACGCUAGCGGCAGGCUUAACACAUGCAAGUCGAGGGUAUAGUUCUUCGGAAUUAGAGACCGGCGCACGGGUGCGUAACGCGUAUGCAAUCUACCUUUCACAAAGGGAUAGCCCAGAGAAAUUUGGAUUAAUACCUUAUAGUAAUACGACUUGGCAUCAAGAUGUAUUUAAAGAUUUAUCGGUGAAAGAUGAGCAUGCGUCCCAUUAGCUUGUUGGUAAGGUAACGGCUUACCAAGGCAACGAUGGGUAGGGGUCCUGAGAGGGAGAUCCCCCACACUGGUACUGAGACACGGACCAGACUCCUACGGGAGGCAGCAGUGAGGAAUAUUGGACAAUGGGCGCAAGCCUGAUCCAGCCAUGCCGCGUGCAGGAUGACGGUCCUAUGGAUUGUAAACUGCUUUUGUACAGGAAGAAACCCUUUCACGUGUGGAAGAUUGACGGUACUGUAAGAAUAAGGAUCGGCUAACUCCGUG
rnacentral:rRNA from 1 species